rnacentral:lncRNA from 1 species
GCAGAGCCCAGGCGCGUGGGUCGGUGUCGGGUGUGUGUGUACGUCUGUGUGUGUAAUGAAACUGGACGCCUUCCUUCCCGGCGAUCUUGACUUAACCUGUCAGCAGAGGGCUUGAGGUUAGACCACAGGUUGAACCUAGGUGGCUGCUGGAGAGGAGUUCCUGCCAGAAACAGAUGAUGAACUGGAAGAACAGAUGUGAGGCUGAAAGUCCCCAGUCCAUGUCCUCCUCCACCAGGAAGUCUUCCUUGAUGAACUGCCUUGGGAUUGCUCUGGGAUUGACCUUGAAUUCCUAGCUGUGGCAAGAUGGGCUUCUUUUUACUUUGCCAUCCUGCCAAAUCUGAGCACUGAGCACCUACAGGUUGUGUGCUAGGGGCAAGGGCAUGAAUAGGAAUGUGGUGCUUUCAUUCAAAUCAUUCAUUCAGUCAUCAAAUAUGCCAGGUGCUCAAGAUACACGGGUGAAGCCAUGGACUCAGCUACUCUUAUAGAGCCUGGAAAAGGAGAGUCUUAAAGCAAGUAGUCACACCAAAAAGAAUUACAAACUGUAAUGUGUGCCAAGAGGGAAAAUUACAUGGGGCUCUGGGAGAAUAUCCUAGGGACUUAGUUUAGAUGGGGGUGUGGCCUGAUAUUUAAGCUCAGUUCCUGUCUUGCUCUAACAAAGUCCCAGCCUAGCUGGGGACACACACGCACGCGCGCGCACACACACACGCAGAAAUGUCUGGGAAAAGAUGAUGUUUAACUGACAGUUCACUGU